UCUGGCAGUUGGGCACUUUUGCCACAGGAGCUGGCAGGCUAAUUGUCAUUGCACCCAAACUCCUGAUGGGCCAUCAGGCCAAGGCCAGGACGGGCAGAGAGGAGGCUCUGGGCUUUGUUUGGUCUCUGCUGAUGGGGUGGAGGGGCUGCAGCUUCAGCACACAGCCUUCAUGUAUGGCUGGACUUCAGUGAGGCCUGUUAGAGCCAUUGCCAUUCCUAAACCCCCGAGUUACAGACUGUCACGACACACCCCAGGAAGCUCAAAGCUCACCAUUACUUAAGAAGCAACUUUGAUAUUUGGGAGAGCACUCCCCUAAUUUUUACCCCAUGGAAUGCUGACUCAACAGGACUUUUACAGAAGACAAAAGUAAAUCCGACAAACAGGUA